CGGCAUGCCUAACACAUGCAAGUCGAACGAGACCUUCGGGUCUAGUGGCGCACGGGUGCGUAACGCGUGGGAAUCUGCCCUUAGGUUCGGAAUAACUUCGGGAAACUGAAGCUAAUACCGUAUGAUGUCGAAAGACCAAAGAUUUAUCGCCUAAGGAUGAGCCCGCGUAAGAUUAGCUUGUUGGUGAGGUAAAAGCUCACCAAGGCGACGAUCUUUAGCUGGUCUGAGAGGAUGAUCAGCCACACUGGGACUGAGACACGGGCCCCAGACUCCUACGGGAGGCAGCAGUGGGGAAUAUUGGACAAUGGGCGAAAGCCUGAUCCAGCAAUGCCGCGUGAGUGAUGAAGGCCUUAGGGUUGUAAAGCUCUUUUACCAGGGAUGAUAAUGACAGUACCUGGAGAAUAAGCUCCGGCUAACUCCGUG
rnacentral:rRNA from 1 species